rnacentral:tRNA from 1 species
UCCCUGGUGGUCUAGUGGCUAAGACUUGGAGCUCCUGAUUCAGGGGACCCAGGUUCAACCCCUGAUCAGGGAA